UUACGGCCUUAUCAUGUUGAAACACCAGGUUCCUGUCAAUCCCCAAAAGUUAAGCAACGUCGAGCCUGAUCAGUACCUAGAUGGGUGACUGCUUGGGAAUACCAGAUGCU
rnacentral:rRNA from 1 species